CGUCUAGCUUCCCCAUUUUCCAUUUUCUCAUUUGUUUUGUUUUGAUGAUAGCUUACUGGUAAAUUCUCUCUGAUUUCUUUCUCUCAUUUUUUUUUUUCCAAAUUUUCUUUUCUUUCUUGCUCGUUAUUUUCUUUACUGUCCCAACUUCGGUGGUUGGCGUUUGUCCUGGUGCUGAUGUGUUCAUGUGUGGUAAAAUCACCGGGAGAAGAUCGGGAGAUGCGUGAAUUGUCUCUAGCGAAUUAGAGAAUUUGUUGGGCUCCUAUUCUGUUGGGUGGGUGGCAAUUACCGCUGUGGUGAGGGCAUCAAAAAAUGAUCAGGUGUGUAAUGAAAAUCUCGAAAAACAACAAACGACAUGAAGCCAAAAACUUAUUGUUGACGCUACACAGCUGUGUGGGCCACAUGGGUUGAGUUAAGUGGGUCGUGUGGACCACACGGGUUGGGCCAGUUAGGUCGUGUGGGUUAUAUGGGCGUGUGAGCCCAUUUUCUAUAAAUUUAGUAAGUGUAGUAUUCGAAAUUUGAUUUAAGGUUAGCCACUUCGUAGGUUCCGUAAUGUGUUUUGUUGGUCAUUAAAUUGUGAAAUAUGAUAUUCUGCUUAUGUUAUUACAAAUUCUGAAA